rnacentral:rRNA from 1 species
GUGGGGAAUUUUGGACAAUGGGCGAAAGCCUGAUCCAGCCAUGCCGCGUGCAGGAUGAAGGCCUUCGGGUUGUAAACUGCUUUUGUACGGAACGAAAAGACUCUGGUUAAUACCUGGGGUCCAUGACGGUACCGUAAGAAUAAGCACCGGCUAACUACGUGCCAGCAGCCGCGGUAAUCCGUAGGGUGCAAGCGUUAAUCGGAAUUACUGGGCGUAAAGCGUGCGCAGGCGGUUAUAUAAGACAGAUGUGAAAGCCCCGGGCUCAACCUGGGAACUGCAUUUGUGACUGUAUAGCUAGAGUACGGCAGAGGGGGAUAGAAUUCCGCGUGUAGCAGUGAAAUGCGUAGAUAUGCGUAGGAACACCGAUGGCGAAGGCAAUCCCCUGGGCCUGUACUGACGCUCAUGCACGAAAGCGUGGGGAGCAAACAGGAUUAGAAACCCCUGUAGUCC